AUUGAACGCUGGCGGCAGGCUUAACACAUGCAAGUCGAGCGAGCGGCGGACGGGUGAGUAAUAUCUGGGAAACUGCCUGAUGGAGGGGGAUAACUACUGGAAACAGUAGCUAAUACCGCAUACCAUCAGAUGUGCCCAGAUGGGAUUAGCUAGGAGGUGGGGUAAUGGCUCACCUAGGCGCCGAUCCCUAGCUGGUCUGAGAGGAUGACCAGCCACACUGGAACGGAGACACGGUCCAGACUCCGACGUGAGGCAGCAGUGGGGAAUAUUGCACAAUGGGCGCAAGCCUGAUGCAGCCAGGCCGCGUGUGUGAAGAAGGACUUCGGGUUGUAAAGCACUUUCAUCGAGGAGGCGUUACUCGCAGAAGAAGCACCGUCUAACUCCGGGCCAGCAGCCGCGGUAAUUC
rnacentral:rRNA from 1 species